rnacentral:lncRNA from 1 species
AUCAAUGUCGUGUUCGCAUCCAAUGAGAGUAUAUAAGAAUCUCACAUCGGAUGUAAAUGAGAGUAUAAAUCAAUAUCGCUGACCAGACUGGAUCAGGCUCUGACUGUUUCAAUAUCGCUGACCAGACUGGAACAGGCUCUGACUGUUUUGACAUGUUAAUGAGGAGAUUUUAAAUUUAAAUUUUAUUCUACCCAAGCUGGUGGUUAGAAGGUCUGAAUAAAUAGUUUUUGCAAAAUUGAGUAUACAUGUCACUCAUAAUUUUAUUUUUAUUCUACCCAGGUUGGUGGUUAGAAGUUCUUAAUCAAAAUAGUUUUCUCCAAUAUCUCAAACUCAAAAUGUCAUCAUAUAUGAACAAAAACUAAAAACAAAACAAAAAUAAU